rnacentral:rRNA from 1 species
UUUCGGGGUACACGAGCGGCGAACGGGUGAGUAACACGUGGGUGAUCUGCCCUGCACUCUGGGAUAAGCUUGGGAAACUGGGUCUAAUACCGGAUAUGACCGCAGCAUGCAUGUGUUGUGGUGGAAAGAUUUAUCGGUGCAGGAUGGGCCCGCGGCCUAUCAGCUUGUUGGUGGGGUAAUGGCCUACCAAGGCGACGACGGGUAGCCGACCUGAGAGGGUGACCGGCCACACUGGGACUGAGACACGGCCCAGACUCCUACGGGAGGCAGCAGUGGGGAAUAUUGCACAAUGGGCGGAAGCCUGAUGCAGCGACGCCGCGUGAGGGAUGAAGGCCUUCGGGUUGUAAACCUCUUUCAGCAGGGACGAAGCGUGAGUGACGGUACCUGCAGAAGAAGCACCGGCUAACUACGUGCCAGCAGCCGCGGUAAUACGUAGGGUGCGAGCGUUGUCCGGAAUUACUGGGCGUAAAGAGUUCGUAGGCGGUUUGUCGCGUCGUUUGUGAAAACCCGGGGCUCAACUUCGGGCUUGCAGGCGAUACGGGCAGACUUGAGUGUUUCAGGGGAGACUGGAAUUCCUGGUGUAGCGGUGAAAUGCGCAGAUAUCAGGAGGAACACCGGUGGCGAAGGCGGGUCUCUGGGAAACAACUGACGCUGAGGAACGAAAGCGUGGGUAGCAAACAGGAUUAGAUACCCUGGUAGUCCACGCCGUAAACGGUGGGCGCUAGGUGUGGG